UUGGACAAAAAAAGCUCAUCCCGGCACGAAACACGGGGAGAGAGAGACAUAGAGAGAAAGAGAGAGUGAGAGACGAAACGGAUUGAAGGAGGACCUAAAAUGAAUAUGGGGAUUGGAUGUAAUGACACAUUUGCAAUGUUUGCUACCCAUGUCUGCCUGUAAAUAAAUGGAAUUUUCAGUGGCUACAGAUGUUUCAUACUGCUGGACUUCACAGAGCAUCUUCAAUUCGGAAGGAAGAAAAGAUCAUUUUUAUUGUGUAUGCAUCUGACGGACCUAUUCAAGCGCAGCCUUCAUUAUUUAAAUCGAAGAAAACCUCCUUGAGUUGUGUGACAGCAUCUUCGCAUCUCUCCACAGACAGACACACAAAUAUGAACACCUGGCAAGACACACACAAAAUACGUGCACACUUGCACAGACUAACAACAGCCACAGUUGCCAUUCAAAAGUCUUUCCUUUGGCUUUCAAAAAUGAAAAUUGGUUUUCAGUCAAACCCGAUUAGUUGAUUGUGACAUUCAAGCAGUGUACAGAUAAAGUGGGAGGAUAUGACACACCGACAAAUACGUCUACACUCAGACAAAACAAUAUAAUGGUGGCUGCAGAGAGACGAGACAUCGGGUCCUUUUCAGACUUCUGAAUAAAGUCUCUUGGCUGCAGUCGGGCUGCCGACAGGUCUGUGUGCUAAUGAGAGUCUGUCCCAUGUCCUCCUCGUGUCCUUGAUGCUGGAGGGACGGUGUGAAUUGUAAUGAUGACAUAGUGUGCAAAUUGUAGACUUUUCCCCAAAGUGCCAAGUGUUGGGAAUAUGUGAGUCCCAUAUUGUUCAUCUAUCUGAUCUCCUCAUUCAAUUUUAUUUAUACAAACCAAAAUGAAGAUGCAUCGAGGUUCCUCAUUGGAAAGGAAGACAAUCACCAAAUAGCUUUUAAAGAUGAUCAAAAAGAAGAACAAAGAAGGAAAGUGUACUGUACUGAUUUCUUGGUGUGUUUUUUUCAGGAGCACCUUUAAAAUAAAGAUCACUCAUGUAUGUGGAAAAAAAGUACAUGUUCUGUGCUGAAGUUAUUUCAACUACAAUAACAAACAUAUUUCACACCCGUCUGGCCAGAAUAACCUAUGAUAAGAAAUAACCAUCCAUCAUAUGAAAUUGCUAACUUACUUCUUCAAACAUUGUUGGUUCGGUAAUUGAUGUCAUCUGAAGACAAUAUUAUUCAUUUAGCAUAACAGGUCGCCAGACACACACACACACACACACACACACACACACACACAGCCCAUAUAUCCUACUGACAUUCACCUCAUUUACUUAAUCUACUAAUCAUGCUGAUGUUAUCGUCUCUCAUGUACACAAGUGUUCAUGAAUGUGUGAUUUCCUGCCAAAAGGCCUUGAUUUGUAACAGGCGGGUGGCUGAGAGGAUACUUUAUCUUUUUGAAAUAUCUUGAAGGGUUCGUAAAAACCAUCAAACGCUUUACAGUGCUUCCAAGAGACUGAAAAUAGACGGGGGCAGAAUAAGAAAGAAGAUCCAUCUGAGCAACGGUUGAAUAAAAUAAAUGACCAGUCUACAGAGUAAACUGCAUAAGUUAAAGCUUACGGAUCCUAAAUCAAAGGUUAUUUGGGGGAGAAAAGAGUUGAAAUAAUGUUCCCCACUAACACGUAACACCAAUUAAUCAUUAAAUAAACUAUCCCAAAUGUGAAUAAUAUAUUUGGUAGUCUGAACUAUACUGUGGUUUCUGCUAUCAUUUCUCCGGUAGUGUCAGCGGAGGACGGUUAGUGUGUGUCGACUGAAUGGAUACAAAGUCAAUACAAGUGACAGUUCCAAUCAACCUCACCACAUGGCAGCUAGAUCUGUGUGUUCAUUAUUUUCUAGAUUGGCAGUUGGCUGCACACUCGCCUUUUUGUUCAUUGUGAUGGAGUCUGAAAAAAACGCUUUCAUGUUUGCAUUAGAACAGGACUCACAAAAAAACAUAUUACAUCGCACACAGAAUCUAUAACAUGCAAAUCUACUUUAAACAUAUGUACUAUCAUAUGUUUACUAUCAUACAUUAAUUGCCA
ensembl:lncRNA